AAUCUCAUCUCCUCCCUCACCUCCCCCAAGGGUUUCCAUGGCGGCCUUCAGCGGCGACGAAACCGCCCCCUUCUUUGGCUUCCUCGGUGCCGCCGCGGCACUCGUCUUCUCAUGCAUGGGGGCGGCGUACGGGACGGCUAAGAGCGGCGUCGGGGUGGCGUCGAUGGGAGUGAUGCGGCCGGAGCUCGUCAUGAAGUCGAUCGUGCCGGUUGUCAUGGCGGGAGUGUUGGGGAUCUAUGGGCUCAUCAUUGCGGUCAUCAUCAGUACCGGGAUUAACCCCAAGGCGAAGUCGUAUUAUCUCUUUGACGGAUAUGCGCACCUCUCGUCUGGGCUUUCGUGCGGUCUUGCUGGUCUGGCUGCUGGUAUGGCUAUCGGCAUCGUCGGCGAUGCUGGAGUCCGAGCCAAUGCACAACAGCCAAAGCUAUUUGUCGGAAUGAUCCUCAUCCUCAUUUUUGCGGAAGCUCUUGCUCUCUAUGGUCUUAUUGUCGGCAUCAUCCUUUCUUCUCGGGCUGGUCAAUCUCGGGCCGACUGAAAAGCAUUGCCGCAGGACCAAAUUUCUCGACUUUCUUGUAUUAAUAAGA
rnacentral:misc_RNA from 1 species